CACGGGGCACGCAGGCGAAGAUAAAUGGCUCGGUGUGUGUGGGGUGAGGAAUCUGUAAAGCAGACUUCAUUUUCCCCCUCUGUCCGCAGACAAUGCGUUUGCUCACCGCUAAGGAGGGUCAAGUGACUGUCACCAGCUCUGCACCAAGGAGGUGUAACCUGUGUCGCAGCUGCCAGCCUGGCUGGCUUGAAAAGGUUGGCAUUUUUGUGGAUGAAUACCACUGGGAGUUCAGGACUUGCUGUGACUCUCACUCUUACUUAUAGGAGUUUUGCCUGCAGCAGUCACAUAGUUGAAAAAUAUGGAUCCAUGUGACUGCUAAGAGACCACUGAGAAGCCAAGUUUGGCCAAAACUGAGUAAGUUUUAACGUUAAGAUAAGCAUUCAUUCAGUAAUCAGAAGCGGAUGAAUGUGCACAGUCAUAUUCUUCAGAUCCUUUUCUCCUAAACUAUUCUGCACAAAGCAUGGAAAUAGGAAUAUCUUUGCUCAUUGGCCUGGAGCAGCAGUUUGUGGCGGUGUCUGGAGGACCUGCCUACCUGAGAUGGAAAUGACAGGGAAUAUUCUUAUUGAAGGAAUACCUGACGGAAUGUGUCAUUAA
rnacentral:lncRNA from 1 species